rnacentral:tRNA from 1 species
AGGGUAAUGGCUCAGCAGUAGAGUGCAUGCUUAUAGCAUGCAUGAGGUCCUGGGUUCAAUUCCCAGUACCUCCA